GAUGAAGAACGUAGCAAAAUGCAAUAAGUAAUGUGAAUUGCAGAAUUCAGUGAAUCAUCGAAUCUUUGAACGCACAUUGCGCCCGCCAGUAUUCUGGCGGGCAUGCCUGUUCGAGCGUCAUUUCAACCCUCAAGCACAGCUUGGUGUUGGGACUCGCGUUAAUUCGCGUUCCCCAAAUUGAUUGGCGGUCACGUCGAGCUUCCAUAGCGUAGUAGUAAAACCCUCGUUACUGGUAAUCGUCGCGGCCACGCCGUUAAACCCCAACUUCUGAAUGUUGACCUCGGAUCAGGUAGGAAUACCCGCUGAACUUAAGCAUAUCAUAAGCGGAGGA
rnacentral:misc_RNA from 1 species